rnacentral:rRNA from 1 species
UACGAAGGGGUGCAAGCGUUAAUCGGAAUUACUGGGCGUAAAGCGCACGUAGGCGGCUUUGUAAGUUAGAGGUGAAAGCCCGGGGCUCAACUCCGGAAUUGCCUUUAAGACUGCAUCGCUAGAAUUGUGGAGAGGUAAGUGGAAUUCCGAGUGUAGAGGUGAAAUUCGUAGAUAUUCGGAAGAACACCAGUGGCGAAGGCGACUUACUGGACACAUAUUGACGCUGAGGUGCGAAAGCGUGGGGAGCAAACAGGG